AUGCAACACAGCCUCGCCGCGCAGGGAAGGGGAGAGAGGGGAGGGAGGGAUGGGGGAACCCGCCGCAGGAUGCUGGCGGAGGAGGGCAGGGGACGAGGCGCGAUCGCCAUCCCGUCCAUGAGACGCUGGCGGCGCGAAACUCGGCGAGGCCGGCAGCUGCCUGGCAGGCGGGAGCGCCGCUGCGAGGCGAAGUUACUGCCGACCACCGCUCCCGUUGCUCGGCGUAGGACAGACAAUGGCCGCUCCGCGGGCGCUGUCAACUUGCGGCGCACCCUCGCCGGCCCCGUGGAACUAGCCGCGGCCGCCCGCGCCCCGGGCCCGGCCUCACCUGCAGUCGCCUCUCCCGCAGCAGCGGCGGCGCCGCCCCCGCCCGGCGGUAGCCCCGUGCCGCCCCUGAGGGCCCGGCGCUACCGAAGUCCCACGCCGCCGUCUGACACGCCCCCGUGCGCGGGCAGCCGGGCCUGGCCGGGCCAGGCAGAGCCGGGCCGGGCCGGGCCGGGCGGGGCGGGGCACGAGUGCCGUUGUUCGGGGAGGGCGGGACUGGGGCGUUACCUCGAGGCGGCUCCAGGCAGCCGCGGCCCAGCCCGUCCCGGCGGUGCAGCCUCGGGGCACUGCGCGGCCGCUGUGGGUUGGCGGAGCGGGACGGUAGGGCGGAGAUGGCAGAUGCCCCGCGCGCGCCCACCACGCCGGUCCCGCCUUUUUUUUUUUUUUUUUUUUUUUUUUUUAAUAAUGUUGGCCUCCGGGGCACCCGAGCGGUCGUCACUUCCUUCCUCGAGGCACUUCCGGUCACGUGAUCCCCUCCCGAGCGCCGCUUUCUGUUGCCCGGGUGACGGCAGCCGCAGGCUGGUGGCGGCGUUUCAGAACCUGGGUGGGAGCUGUUCUUCCGGCAGCGCUCGCCUGUGGUGCUCACUUCUACAUCCUCCAUGGUCCCGACAAACAGAGGGAGGUGAGGGCACGCAUCGGUGUCCUGUCGCCUCUACGAGCUCUGGAAAGAGAACCAAUAUACCUAUGGCCCUAGCUUGA
rnacentral:lncRNA from 1 species